AGAGGCCAGUGCAUACAACAAUCUACUUAAUACAUUUUUAACCCUUAGAGCACGAGCCACAAUCGCGGCUUUACCAGGGAAGCAUGAGGAAGGUGAUUUUUAUUACUUUUAUUGCAAAGUUCAAGCUUUCUCCUUUCCAAAAAUGUAUAGGUUUCUUGGUCUUAUGAUUACCAGAGAGCAGCAACAAUAAAAAACAUCACCCACUGUCAUCUUCACUGUCUUCAGUUAUUAGCCAGUCUGUGUAAUACUUAUACUUUUAUGAAGUGCUAAGAUGGUUAAUGUCUUCAAUCUAGCUGUGAUAUUCUUGUGACAUUCGCAGCUUAACUACCCAUUGGAUAAACAUGUGUACGAGUGCCAGUGUACCUCACUGUGCUUUUUUAAAAAUAAUCUAACCCGCCACCCCAAAAAACAGAGUCUUGUAUUUUCAGUUCUGCCCCUUGUGUGACAGGUUGUUCAAUGCUUUCAUCCAUGCCCCCUCAGCUGGAACAAAAUGUCCAUUUAAAAUGUUCAAUCUUAUCUACACAUAAGCUUAUAAAAACAUUACAAAUUAUACUUUCAACAAUGAUCUGUCCCAAACAUCAAAGCAGGUCAGGAAUAGCAGUUAACUUAAUCUGCCUUUGAAAAAAAAAAGUACAAAUUUCCCACCUCCCCCAAAAAAAAUAGAAACAACAGAUGGUAGCAUGUAUCAAGAAAACCCAAUGAAUCUGACAUGUGCACAGACUAGCAAUACACUCAUGUUAAUUCACAUCCAUAAUACACUUCUUAGUUUACUCCUAUAACACAUCUGUGAUGGGCUGGAGUAUGACGUCAUAAAAUAUGACGUCAUAUUUUAUGACGACAAAAAGGUGACGACAAAAAGGUGACGACAAAAAGGUGACGACAAACGGAGGACGUUAGGACAAAGACGAGACGACGAACAACGGCGAUGAGUGAGGGAGCAUCGGCGUGUGGCGCAGCCGUGGCGAUUGUUUUAGCCGUGCAGUAAAAGAGUUGCACCUGAA